UGAGCAAUCUGCCCUUCUCAUCGGAAUAAGCGUUGGAAACGACGUCUAAUGCCGAAUACGACCUCCUUUCGCAUGAUCGGAGGUGGAAAGCUCCGGCGGAGAAGGAUGAGCUCGCGGCCUAUCAGCUAGUUGGUGUGGGUAACGGCCCACCAAGGCGACGACGGGUAGCUGGUCUGAGAGGAUGGCCAGCCACAUUGGGACUGAGAUACGGCCCAGACCUCUACGGGA
rnacentral:rRNA from 1 species